UUCGAAUCAGUAGAAGGUAAAUAAGAGACGAAAUCCUCAGGAGUGCCAACAACACCAUUUAACCAAAACUCAAUCAAAAACCUAAGGAGCGGUCUAACUUUGAGUAAAUGAGAGGAACGGUCCUUUUCGGAAACUUCGUUUUCAUUUUGCUUUAGUUCAAAGUAUGAUUCGUGACACAAUGAGUAUCCUGGGUUUGGGUAUAAAGCACAGUAUAAGUUGGCCAGCAUGGGUCCAGUAAAAGCCGUGGAAAAACGCAGAUUAAGAGCCCAAACAAUUUUGACUGACGACAGUAUGUCUUUAGUAGCUUUACAUUUCAUCAUUCCUUCUACGAUGGCGGCGGUAAUUUCAGGAAUGAACUUUUUCAAAGACAGGGUUUUUAUUUCCUUUAUAAAGGAAUCGUAAUUUUCAGAAGUUAAUGAGGACUUACAUCUUUUCAUAAAUGCUGUAUUUUUCUUUAGAGAAGAAUCCAGCUGGCUCUCAGUAUGAAAUAUAUUUUUGUCACCAUCUUUGGCUCGGAAGGCAAGCUCUCUAUUAUCCAAAUAUUGAUUAAGUUUUUUUAUUUGUUCUUCUCUUGACAUAAUUUAACGAAAUUGCAUUGAAAAGCACUUCAAUUCUCAUAUCUUGUUUAGAACACUAGUCGACGAUAGUUGGCGUAAAGUGAGUAGAUAAAUUUGACACAUGUCCUCUUCCACAACGAAAUAAUAUUGUAAAGUAACUAUGGCAAGUAUCUUAAAUUAUACUGGUUUUUUUUUUUAAAAAAGAAUAAACAGUAUUGGAUUAUAUUUUAGUUGCAUAAAUGCUAUAUUGUUGCUGCAGUUUCAUAUAUUAGAGGAAUAAAUCAAUUGGGGAUGAUUAGAAGCAAUAGGAGGUUUGUGCAUUGGUACAAUUUAAACAUAAUUUGUUAGGCAUGAAGAAUAAAACAGUUAAUACAGGUAGAUGUAUGCAUCAUCUUGAUAAGGACCUUUUAUGAUUGACGAAAAUAUAUCUACGGUUUCCACUUUUACGCUUACUGUUGAUGUGUAACAAUCUUAAAUAAAAAGGAAAAAAAGGUAACAGUAGCAAUUUAUUGAAGCUAUUAAGUGUGCUAACAGAAAUUCAAUACAAUUGUUGAUACUCAGAAAGGGUAAUUAAGCAAUACUCAGAAAACCAUGUAUUGCCUUCGAAUAAAUAAAACACUUUUAUAAAUAAAUAUCAUAUUCAACAAAAAAUUGCUCAGAUCGUUAAAACAUUAGUCUAGGAUACGAGAAAUGUUUCUCUCCUUGUAGGUAGCAGCCUUUCCAGUAUGAUCGUUCAAUAUUUCAUAACGAGUCUCCUCUCCGCUAUCGUUUUUAAUCACCUGCUGGAUAACUCCUGUUGAGGUGCUGGUACCGCUAGGGCCACCAAUCUUAAACCAUUUGUUAAUACUUAAUCACAGUCGAAAAACUUCAAGACACAAUUCGGUACACAAAAUACAGUGUACUUAACUGACAUGCCUGAAUCAAAAAUUCCUACUUACAGGAUGGUAUUCGACUUUGUUUCCUUUAGAAUAUUUGGUCAUUUUUUA